UACGUAGGGGGCAAGCGUUGUCCGGAUUUAUUGGGCGUAAAGAGCGUGUAGGCGGUUUGGUAGGUCCGUUGUGAAAACUCGAGGCUCAACCUCGAGACGCCGAUGGAAACCAUCAGACUAGAGUCCGGAAGAGGAGACUGGAAUUCCUGGUGUAGCGGUGAAAUGCGUAGAUAUCAGGAGGAACACCUGUGGCGAAAGCGGCUCACUGGACCACAACUGACGCUGAGGCGCGAAAGCUAGGGGAGCAAACAGG
rnacentral:rRNA from 1 species